rnacentral:lncRNA from 1 species
GCCAUAAGGAGCAUCAGAUUCCCUGGGACUGGAGUCUUAAAUGGUUAUGAACCGCCAUGUGGGUACUGGGACCUGAACCAGGUCUUCUGGAAGAGCAGAGCCAUCUCUUCAGCUGAAUUUUGUACAUCUAAAUUAUUACAUUUUAUUUUGUGAGUGUGCACAUGCCUUUGCUGGCACAAAAGCCAUGGUGCUCACUCAGAGAUCAGAGAACAACUUGUUGGAGUUGGCUCUCUCCUUUCAGCUUGUGGGUCCCAGGGAUCAGACUCAGUGUCUUUAUCCGCUGAGCCACCCAGUUUCUACAUCUUGUAUAUGUAACAAAGAGAAGGAUCAAGACGAGGAGGGUCCCAGAGUGAGAAAAGAAUGCCGGAUGUGGGACAGUGACCUGGGAGUGAAGGAAGCAGGGCAAUUUGAGAAGGCAAGGUCACACUGCCUCCUGGACCAGUAUGCAAGAACUGGGGUUUGGGGUCCGCAGACACAGAAAUCAGGCACAUUUUUCCUGACGGAAACCUUGACUAUCACAGAUUUGUGUUUUCCUACCCACAGGUCUGAAGGACAGAAAGGAGGGGCAGGGAAGAGGUAACUCAGGAGACAAGUCCGAGUCCCAUAUAGGCUUGAAAAUGCUGUCCCCACCGACACCAGGCUGAAGCCCGUGGGAGAUGGGAGUACAGGAUUCCGCUCUCCUUUACAUUACUUAAAAUGGGAGAGAUUUAAAAACAAAACAAAACUAAAAACCAAAGGAGAGUGUGUGUGGGAGGGGCCGUUGCUAGAGGAGGCUAAGCUUUACCUGGUGGUGUUGGGGGUGGUGCUGGGGAAGGUGUCUGGGGACAGAGUUCACUCCUAAGGGAGCCUGGGAGCUAGUGAGAUGGCACAGCAGGUAAAGGUACUUGCCACCAAGACUGGUUUGAGUCUAGUCCCUGGAUCCAUAAAGCGGAACAAAAGAACUAAUUCCUGCAAAAUGUCCUCUGCUCUCCACUGAAAUGCCAUGGUGUGCCCAUCCUCCAUACACAAUAAGCAAAACGUAGUAAAAACUUUUUUUUUUUUUUUGCCUCUUUUGAGAGGAGGUUGAACACUGUAGCCUUGACUGGCCUAGUCCUUGCCAAUUAGAGCAGGCUGGCCUGAAACUCAGAGAUUCACCUGCCUCAGCCUUCCAAGUGUUUGUACUUAAGGCAUGCAUCAAAACAUUUUUUUUUUUUUAAUUUUGUUUUUCAAGACAGGGUUCCUCUGAGUAGCCCUGGAACUCACUCUGUAGUUCAGGCAGGCAGAUCUCUGAGCGUCUCAAAAAAAAAAAAAAAAAAAAAAAAAAAACAAAAAAACAAAAAAACAAACCUGGGGAACUGACUAGAGAGAGAUUGC